GUCUUAAAGAGUUCAAAUGGAGACCAGAUACCAAAUCUCUUCUUGUGUCUAGUCUUGUGGGGACUGGCAUGGGAAAGAAAGGUGGUAAAUUUUUCAAGAAGUCAUAAGCCCUGAAGUUGCAGUCUGAUGAUUAGCAUCUGCAAUUUGACCAUCCCUGGAUGAUCCAGGCUGCUGCUGAAAAUACUGUACUUUCAUAUAGGGAUCAUUUUAUUGUUCAUUUAACAGGCUGGCAUGGAUCCUACGGAGAUUAUUCUUCUUUCAUCUUCAUUUGCAUGGAGGAGCAAGCUGAUGGAUAAAAGCUUGGGAAAGUUUAGGUCUUUCAGACCCUCUGCAGCCCC
rnacentral:misc_RNA from 1 species